UUUAUUUAUUCUUAUUUUUCACUUUUUCACCACUCCCAAUACUAAUUAUAACACAUUUUCACAUUUUCACCACUCUCAAUACUAAUUAUAACAUAUUUUUCUCCACUAUCAAUACACUUUACCACUUUUCCUUAAAACUCGUAUCGUCCCCAAAGAGGAACUCAUUUUGGGGACGAAGGGAGUAUAUAAUAUAUAUUACCAAUUCUAAUAUAACCUGCCGAUUUGUGUGAAAAAAGGGCAUAUAGGGUAUUAUAUCAUCAACUGCAAUUAAAGAUUUCUUUAUAUCCCUGAUUUACCACGUUGAUUGAUGGAAAGUAAAAUUAUUCAUAGGUGAAAAUUGCGUCUCUUCAACGCCAUUUCACCUUUCACCUUCUUCUCUCUUUUUGUCUGCCAUAACCGAGAAAAAAGCUGUUCAUCUACCGCCAAGGAAGAAAUCGUGAGAUCUGACCAUUCAAAUCGAUGGGAGUUCCGGUCAUCGAACAAGAUGAGGACUGUGUCGGGAUUAAUCGGGAAGAGAGCGUCAGGCCAUUGUCGUAAGCAUCGAUUUAAAUGUUCAUGUAUCUAUUUUGGUUGUUCAUGUUUGUGUGUGGAUAUGACAAUCUUUGUUCAUUUUGGUAAUUAUACAUACUAUUGUUCACGAUAUAUGUUUGUUGUUCAUAAAAGUGAGGUUGUUCAUGUAUCUUGUUCGUGUGAAUAUUUAAGUAUAACUAAAUAUAUCAUUGUUCAUGUUUGUUGUUCGUGUGACUAUUUUAAGUAUUACUAAUUAUAAUUUUGUUCAUGUCUUUUGUUCGUGUGAAUAAUUUAAGUAUUGCUAAAUAUAACUUUGGUAAUGUCUUUGUUACGAUACGAAUAUAAUUUAAGGGUAGUUGGUAUGCUCAUGUAUGUUGUUUGCGUGAAUAUUUUUUUAAGCAUUACUACAUAUAACUUUGUUCAUGUAUUUGGUUGGAUAUGUACAUGGCAACUGUUCAAGAAAGGUGGCAUUGUUCAUGUUUCUUUUUUCUUGUUCAUGUCACAACAAGACCACCGAAUCCAAAAAUUAUCUUGCAAAAUAAGUUAAUAGAGGCAGAGCAAAAAGGUAUGCAUUAAGUAACGAUGAGUUAAUACACUUUUUUAUUUUGCAAAACUAACUUAUGACUAUUCCCAGCAACAAAGUGGAGAAAUAGAAUGUUAAGAAAGAUAAAGUUGUGUCGUGAAUAUAUGGCUAAAAAAGCAAGACUUGAAGUAGGUAUUUUUUGGGCUUUUGUUGUUAAUGGUAACCUUUUUCAAAUGUAUACAUAGCUGAACAUAAUUCUUACACUGUGAACAUGAGACGAUUCGACUAGAAACGAGCAUGAUAUCGUUAAAGAUACUAAGGAUGGAGGUGGAGAGGUUGCGGCUGGACAAGAUGACAAUGAAGAUGAUGGUUCACCUACAUUUCAAAGAAAGAGGACGCAGAGUGCCACUCGUCAGCCCUUAAAGAACAACUUCCCACAGGUUAUCUGAUGUGUUCGUGGUUUCAUUUCAGCAAUGCUUAUUGCGUUAUGCUUCGUAUGUAAAAUAUUUUCGAGUGUGCUAUGCUUAGUAUUUGUCUUAAGUUCUUAUGUUUGCAUUGGUAUAAAGUAUAUAUGUUAUUGUUCAUGCAUGUUAUGUAAAAUAUUUUCAAGUGUGUCACUUGUUUAAUGAAUGUUACAGUUGCCAUAUUCAUUUUAAAUAAUAUAUGAUCAUAGGGUUCGAACUUGUGGCCAUGGAUUAUAUAUGAUUCAUUUAAUAAUAUUAAUUACUACUUGGUGUAUAUGAAAAGAAAAAGAGCAAUGCGUGGAGAGGUCUGAAACUGAUAAGACGGAGGGUGGUACGUCUAGUAAGCGUAUACGUUACACACGCGAAGAAGAAGAAAAUGGAGUA